AGUGAACGCUGGCGGCGUGCUUAGCACAUGCAAGUCGAACGAGUAAGUGCUGUAGUAAUACAGAUUACUGCUAGUGGCAGACGGGUGAGUAAUACAUGGGAAUCUGCCUUGAAGUCUGGGAUAACUGUUGGAAACGACAGCUAAUACCGGAUAUUGCCGAGAGGUGAAAGACUUAUCGCUUCAAGAUGAGCCCAUGCAAGAUUAGCUAGUUGGUGAGGUAAUGGCUCACCAAGGCGAAGAACUUUAGCUGGUCUAAGAGGAUGAUCAGCCACACUGGAACUGAGACACGGUCCAGACUCCUACGGGAGGCAGCAGUGGGGAAUAUUGGACAAUGGGCGAAAGCCUGAUCCAGCGACGCCGCGUGAGUGAAGAAGGCCUUCGGGUUGUAAAGCUCUUUUAGUAGGGAAGAUGAUGACGGUACCUACAGAAGAAGCUCCGGCUAACUUCGUGCCAGCAGCCGCCGUAA
rnacentral:rRNA from 1 species